rnacentral:rRNA from 1 species
CCUACGGGAGGCAGCAGUGAGGAAUAUUGGUCAAUGGCCGGAAGGCUGAACCAGCCAAGCCGCGUGAAGGAAGAAGGUGCCAAGAAUUGUAAACUUCUUUUGUAAAGGGACAAACUCAGGCUCGAGAGCCUGACCGAGGGUAUUUGAAGAAAAAGCAUCGGCUAACUCCGUGCCAGCAGCCGCGGUAAUACGGAGGAUGCGAGCGUUAUCCGGAUUUAUUGGGUUUAAAGGGUGCGUAGGCGGGCUGUUAAGUAAGCGGUAAAAGCCCGGGGCUCAACCCCGGCGAGCCGUUGAAACUGGCUGUCUAGAGAGGUGGAGAGGUAGGCGGAAUGCGCAGUGUAGCGGUGAAAUGCUUAGAUAUUGCGCAGAACUCCGAUUGCGAAGGCAGCAUACCGGCGGCGUUCUGACGCUGAGGCACGAAAGCGUGGGGAGCGAACAGGAUUAGAUACCCGGGUAGUC